GGAGAAUGGCAUAUGCUUCCGUUGUUGUUCUUCAACCUUCCACCGAGCUAAGGACUGCAAGGCUAUCAUCCACUGCUCUGAAUGCAACAGCGAUAAGCACAUUGCAACCCUUCAUGCUGGCCCUGCAGCAUGGUUGACAAGGCCAGCUAGCGGCCCCUCCGAAGACCAUGGCGGGGAGGGAGAGGAAUCUACUCCUGCUUCAGUCACUACCUCAAUCUGCACAGAGGUCUGUGGAGACAGCGCAACAACCAAGUCAUGUGCCAAAAUCAGUCUGGUCUACGUAUAUCCUAAAGACCAACCUGAGAAGAAGACAAGAGUGUACGCCAUCCUAGAUGACCAGAGUAAUAGAUCACUAGCCAGGUCAUCGUUCUUCGAGAUGUUCAACAUAGCCGACAACACCUCGCCCUACACACUUAAAACUUGUGCAGGUGUGUCCGAGGCUGCCGGCCGCAGAGCCAGAGGGUUUAUCGUGGAGUCGGCUGAUGAAAAGACCAGUCUAGCUCUGCCUACACUCAUCGAGUGUGAUCAACUUCCUGAUAAUAGGGCGGAGAUUCCCACCCCAGCUGCUGUGAUGUACCAUCCACAUCUGAAGUUCCUAACCUCUAAGAUACCUCCUCUUGACCCAAAGGCUGAGGUCUUACUUCUUUUAGGAAGAGACAUGAUUCAGGUGCACAAGGUCCUUGAACAGCGAAAUGGCCCCCCACAUGCUCCUUUUGCCCAGCGAUUAGCCCUCGGCUGGGUGAUAGUAGGGGAUGUGUGUAUUAAUGGUGCACAUGUACCUUCGCCUGUGAACACCUACAGAACCUACAUUCUUGAGAAUGGGCGUCCUAGCAUUCUGUGUCCUUGUCUCAACAAGAUCGAAAUCAAAGAGAAGCUCAACCCCACUUACCAGUUCCAGAAUCCUUCUGUCUUAGAACAACCAUCCUUGCCAAAUGACAAAACGCGACUCAUGGGGAAGUCCAUCUUCUGUCACACAAAGGACGAUGAAAAAACAGCUCCAUCUAUGGAAGAUAUUGCUUUUCUGAGAAUUAUGGAGAAGGAACUGAAACAGGGUGAUGACAACAGCUGGCAGGCUCCACUCCCCUUCCGCAACCCACGCCAGCGUCUGCCAAACAACCGCAAGCAGGCAAGGACCCGUCUCGCUACAGUCACCAGGACACUUAGGAAACACCCGGAGAAGAGAGAGCAUUUCACUGAGUUCAUGAGCAAGCUCUUCGAGAAUGGACAUGCUGAAGUGGCACCACCUUUACGACCAGAUGAGGAGUGCUGGUAUCUACCGUUCUUCGGAGUAUAUCAUCCUCAGAAGCCUGGAAAGGUGAGAGUGGUAUUCGACUCCAGUGCACAACAUCAAGGGGUGUCCCUCAAUGAUGUUCUCCUCACGGGCCCAAACAUGAACAACAGUUUGCUCGGGGUACUGCUGCGGUUUAGGAGGGAGCCAGUGGCAGUGACGACUGACAUCCAGCAGAUGUUCCAUUGUUUUGUCGUACGUGAGGACCAUCGGA
rnacentral:lncRNA from 1 species